rnacentral:rRNA from 1 species
GACGUAGGAGGCGAGCGUUGUCCGGAUUUAUUGGGCGUAAAGAGCUCGUAGGCGGCUCAGUAAGUCAGGUGUGAAAACUCCAGGCUCAACCUGGAGACGCCACCUGAUACUGCUGUGGCUAGAGUCCGGUAGGGGAGACUGGAAUUCCUGGUGUAGCGGUGAAAUGCGCAGAUAUCAGGAGGAACACCGGUGGCGAAGGCGGGUCUCUGGGCCGAUAUUGACGCUGAGGAGCGAAAGCGUGGGGAGCGAACAGG